rnacentral:tRNA from 1 species
GGUGGCUCAGUGGUAGAGUGCUUGCCUUGCGUGCGUGAGGUCUGGGUUCAAUCCUCAGCACCA